GCGACGCCGCGUGGGGGAUGAAGGUCUUCGGAUUGUAAACCCCUUUCGGGAGGGAAGAUGGAGCGGGCAACCGCUCGGACGGUACCUCCAGAAGCAGCCACGGCUAACUUCGUGCCAGCAGCCGCGGUAAUACGAAGGUGGCAAGCGUUGUUCGGAUUUACUGGGCGUACAGGGAGCGUAGGCGGUUGGAUAAGCCCUCCGUGAAAUCUCCAGGCUUAACCUGGAAAGUGCAGAGGGGACUGUUCAGCUAGAGGAUGGGAGAGGAGCGCGGAAUUCCCGGUGUAGCGGUGAAAUGCGUAGAGAUCGGGCGGAACACCAGCGGCGAAGGCGGCAUCCUGGUCCUGUUCUGACGCUGAGGCGCGAGAGCGUGGGGAGCGAACUGGAUUAGAUACCCAGGUAGUCCACGCCGUAAACGAUGUGUACCCGGCGCUGGGCAGUGAUUGCGCUGCUCGGUGCCUCAGCUUACGCAGUGAGUACACCGCCUGGGGACUACGGCCGCAAGGCUAAAACUCAAAGGAAUUGACGG
rnacentral:rRNA from 1 species